rnacentral:rRNA from 1 species
AGAGUUUGAUCCUGGCUCAGGAUGAACGCUGGCGGUCUGCUUAACACAUGCAAGUCGAACGGAAUCUUUCGGGAUUUAGUGGCGGACGGGUGAGUAACGCGUGAGAAUCUGCCUUCAGGUUCGGGACAACAGCUGGAAACGGCUGCUAAUACCGGAUGUGCCGAGAGGUGAAAGCUUAAGUGCCUGGAGAUGAGCUCGCGUCUGAUUAGCUAGUAGGAGUGGUAACGGCACCCCUAGGCGACGAUCAGUAGCUGGUCUGAGAGGAUGAUCAGCCACACUGGGACUGAGACACGGCCCAGACUCCUACGGGAGGCAGCAGUGGGGAAUUUUCCGCAAUGGGCGAAAGCCUGACGGAGCAAUACCGCGUGCGGGACGAAGGCUUUUGGGUCGUAAACCGCUUUUGUUAGGGAAGAACACAAUGACGGUACCUAACGAAUCAGCAUCGGCUAACUCCGUGCCAGCAGCCGCGGUAAUACGGAGGAUGCAAGCGUUAUCCGGAAUUAUUGGGCGUAAAGCGUCCGCAGGUGGUUUAUCAAGUCUGCUGUCAAAGCGUGGGGCUUAACCCCAUAACGGCAGUGGAAACUGAGAGACUAGAGUACGGUAGGGGUAGCGGGAAUUCCCAGUGUAGCGGUGAAAUGCGUAGAUAUUGGGAAGAACACCAGCGGCGAAGGCGCGCUACUGGGCCGAAACUGACACUCAUGGACGAAAGCUAGGGGAGCGAAAGGGAUUAGAUACCCCUGUAGUCCUAG